rnacentral:rRNA from 1 species
GGUGGGCCUACAAGGUUUACCAUCGGAAUGAACGUAACUUAUAACCUUCGUUGAGUAACAACUGGAGGGCAAGUCUGGUGCCAGCAGCCGCGGUAAUUCCAGCUCCAGUAGUGUAUUUCAAAAUUGUUGCGGUUAAAACGCUCGUAGUCGAAUUAUAAAAACGUUAUUAAAGUCUAAUUAGCUACAUAUAAGUAGUUAAUUGGGUGACGUUUUUUUGUCGCAAGUACUAAUCGUGGGCUUCAAUGCUUGUGGUUAGUCGCUUGCGAAGCGUGCCUUGAAUAAAGCAAAGUGCUCAACGCAAGCGUAACGCUAAUAUGUAAUAGCAUGGAACGAAUUGAAAUGUGCAGGCGUUAGUUUAGUUAGUUGGUGGGGCUGCAAACUUUGCAUGUAGUCUACCUUGCAAGCAAUUGCUCGGUUYUCUUAUGUGUCUAGUGUGUAGUCCGCCGGGUGGUCUGUGUCCAAUGGGUUGCCGGGGUGGUUAAACAUCCCGGUUGGACGUUGGACGCUCACAGGCCAUUCGGUACUAAACUGCCUGUCGGUUAAGAGGGACAUUUGAGGGCGUUAGUACUUGGAGGCGAGAGGUGAAAUUCUUAGACCCUCCAAAGACUGACAAAUGCGAAAGCAUUCGCCAAGAGUGUUUUCAUUGAUCAAGAACGAAAGUUGGAGGUUCGAAGACGAUCAGAUACCGUCCUAGUUCCAUACAGUAAACGAUGCCAACACGCGAUCAGUCUGAAGUAAUUUGGAUUGAGGUUGGUCGCCCAGGGAAACUGUAAGUGUUCUGGUUGUGGGGAGAGUACGGUCGCAAGGUUGAAAUUUAAAGGAAUUGACGGAAAGGCACCACCAGGAGUGGAGCCUGCGGCUUAAUUUGACUCAACACGGGACAACUCACCAGGUCCGGACAUUGGUAGGAUUGACAGACUGAUAGAUCUUUCAUGAUUCGAUGAUUGGUGGUGCAUGGCCGUUCUUAGUUGGUGGAGUGAUCUGUCAGGUUUAUUCCGGUAACGAGCGAGACCACGAUGUCUAGUUGAUGGCCAAACCACGACAGGGUAAAACCAAAGUGGUGCUUAUUUGCAUUCUGCAUGCUGUUGCAGUGUGAGUAGUUGGCGGCAACGUCGGCUAUUUGCGCUGUGGCAGUGUGUGGGAUGCAUUAUGUACCAGGUGGUUUGGAUACUAG